GAUGAACGCUGGCGACGUGGAUAAGGCAUGCAAGUCGAGCGGAUGACAGAGGAGCUUGCUCCUCCUGAUUCAGCGGCGGACGGGUGAGUAACACGUGGGCAACCUGCCCUGUAGAUUGGGAUAACUCCGGGAAACCGGGGCUAAUACCGAAUAAUCCUUCGGACCUCAUGGUCCGAUGUUGAAAGACGGUUUCGGCUGUCACUACAGGAUGGGCCCGCGGCGCAUUAGCUAGUUGGUGAGGUAACGGCUCACCAAGGCCACGAUGCGUAGCCGACCUGAGAGGGUGAUCGGCCACACUGGGACUGAGACACGGCCCAGACUCCUACGGGAGGCAGCAGUAGGGAAUCUUCCACAAUGGACGAAAGUCUUAUGGAGCAACGCCGCGUGAGUGAAGAAGGUUCUCGGAUCGUAAAACUCUGUUGUGAGGGAAGAACAAGUACCGGAGUAACUGCCGGUGCCUUGACGGUACCUCAUUAGAAAGCCACGGCUAACUACGUGCCAGCCGCCGCGGUAA
rnacentral:rRNA from 1 species